ensembl:lncRNA
GUUCAGAACCCCCUCCAGAGGGCAACCUCCAACGUGUUCAGAACCCCCUCCAGAGGGCAACCUCCAACGUGUUCGUUAUGUUCGACCAAUCACAGAUCCAGAAUUUGAAAGAAGCCUUUAACAUGACCAACCAGAACAAAGACAAAUUCAUCGACAAAGAGGACCUGCACAACAAACUAUCACGGAUUACAAAGGGAAACAGCGGUGAGCUGCCCAGUGACGCGAUCCUACCAGACUAGCUAAAUGUGCUCUAUGCUCGCUUCGAGGCAAGCAACACUGAACCAUGCGUGAACACAUUCUCCGUAGCUGAUCUGAGUAAGACCUUUAAAUAGGUUAACAUUCACAAGGCCGCGGGACCAGCAGGCAUGUGUCUUCACUGGCAUUUUCAACAGUUUGGCACCUCAGAGGUUUGCGGUAUACGGUACCCCGGCUAAGGGCUGUACGACGUAACGCGGGUGGACACAGCCCUGAGCCGUGGUAUAUUGGCCAUAUACCACAAUCCCCUGAGGACCUUCAUUGCUAUUAUAAACUGGUUACCAAAGUAAUUAGAGCAGUAAAAAGGCAUGCUUUUGUCAUACCCGUGGUAUAAGGUCUGAUAUACCACAGCUGUCAGCCAAUCAGCAUUCAGGGCUCAAACCAGCCAGUUUAUAAAACUGACGUAAGCGCAGUACCACCAACCGGCUCCAUUGGUUUUAAUGGGACUAAGUGCCAUCCCAGUAAUGAGUGGAAAAUGCCAAAUGAUAACUCAAAACAAUUUGUUGUCCAGAUAACAAACAAUUUAACCAGGUUUACAAAAAUAUACAAUCUUUGGAAAAUACUAGUAAAAUGAUUCCCAAAUAUUGCCAUAAACACUAUUCAUUGGGUUUGCUCUGUACUUGUUUUCUUAAUCUCAUCUAUAAUAUCCCCAAAAUCACUGAUUUGUAGUUAUUAUGACAUACAAAGUUAUGCCAUAUUGUUAUGUAUAAAAUCUGUCUUGAAUCCUGUCAUCUCCCACGAUGAUGGGAGCGUCAACUUACAUAGAUGAACUAUUAAAGCCUUAUAGGUUCCCAGCCUUUAUAGAUGGUGAACUAUUAAAGCCUUAUAGGUUCCCUUUAUAGAUGGUGAACUAUUAAAGCCUUAUAGGUUCCCUUUAUAGAUGGUGAACUAUUAAAGCCUUAUAGGUUCCCUUUAUAGAUGGUGAACUAUUAAAGCCUUAUAAGUUCCCAGCCUUUAUAGAUGGUGUCUAGUUCCACUAUUUAUGGAGACAUUUCUAUUAUAGUAUAGGGCCUACUGAAAUAUGGUUGGUGUCUGCUUGAGGGCAUCAGCAACGGACCAAUUUCAAAAAAAGACUGGUUUCCUAAUCACCAAUACAUUUGUCAGACAGCCAUUAAAGUAAUGGCUACAAAAUGAUGAGGUGACAUAUUGAAUUAAAUAACUUAAGGUUAGAGAGCGUCACUUUAAGAUCAUGAUGGUCAGGGACAGAAUAACUUAAUCACCAAUGAUUACUUUUUAAAGAUAAUUUGUGUUGACCUAAACAAAUGGCAGAGCAUCAAGUCAGUUGAGGUAAAUAAUUAGAUCUGAUGGCAAAAAUGAACGAAAUACUACAGUUUUAAAGAUUAGAUAUUCCAUUGUUGUUUGAUAGUCAUUUUCAAAGAGUUGGUGAACAUUCCUUUAAAUCAGCCUGUGAAUAUUAUAUUACAUUGAAUUAGUGUCCCGUGUGGCUCAGUUGGCAGAGCAUGGUGCUUGCAACACCAGGGUUGUGGAUUUGAUUCCCAUGGAGGACCAGUAUGACUCACUACCAUUAUUUUUAUUUCUACUUUGCACAUUCUUCCAUUGCAAAACUACCAUUCCAGUGUUUUACUUGCUAUAUUGUAUUUACUUUGCCACCAUGGCCUUUUUUGCCUUUACCUCCCUUCUCACCUCAUUUGCUCACAUCGUAUAUAGACUUGUUUAUACUGUAUUAUUGACUGUAUGUUUGUUUUACUCCAUGUGUAACUCUGUGUCGUUGUAUGUGUCGAACUGCUUUGCUUUAUCUUGGCCAGGUCGCAAUUGUAAAUGAGAACUUGUUCUCAACUUGCCUACCUGGUUAAAUAAAGGUGAAAUAAAAUAAAUUUAAAAAAAACUACUGUAGUGUCUCUGGAUCAGAGAGUCAGCUAAAUGACUCCCUACUGUAGUGUCUCUGGAUAAGAGAGUCUGCUAAAUGACUCCCUACUGUAGUGUCUCUGGAUAAGAGAGUCUGCUAAAUGACUCCCUACUGUAGUGUCUCUGGAUAAGAGAGUCUGCUAAAUGACUCCCUACUGUAGUGUCUCUGGAUAAGAGUCUGCUAAAUGACUCACUACUGUGGUGGCUCUGGAUAAGAGUCUGCUAAAUGACUCACUACUGUAGUGUCUCUGGAUAAGAGAGUCUGCUAAAUGACUCACUACUGUAGUGUCUCUGGAUAAGAGUCUGUUAAAUGACUCACUACUGUAGCGUCUCUGGAUAAGAGUCUGUUAAAUGACUCACUACGGUAGUGUCUCUGGAUAAGAGAGUCUGUUAAAUGACUCACUACUGUAGUGUCUCUGGAUAAGUCUGUUAAAUGACUCACUACUGUAGUGACUCUGGAUAAGAGAGUCUGCUAAAUGACUCACUACUGUAGUGUCUGGAUAAGAGAGACUGCUAAAUGACUCACUACUGUAGUGUCUCUGGAUAAGAGUCUGUUAAAUGACUCACUACUGUAGUGUCUCUGGAUAAGAGAGUCUGUUAAAUGACUCACUACUGUAGUGUCUCUGGAUAAGAGUCUGUUAAAUGACUCACUACUGUAGUGUCUCUGGAUAAGAGAGUCUGUUAAAUGACUCACUACUGUAGUGACUCUGGAUAAGAGAGAGUCUCCUAAAUGACACAUUUAAUGUGAUGCAUAGACUUCCAUACAACAAGACAUAAUGUGCAUUAAGAAAGUAUUCAGACCCCAUGACUUUUUCCCAAAAAUGUUGUUACCUUAUACUAAAAUGGAAUUAAUUGUUCCCCCCAUCAAUCGACACACAAUACCCCAUAAUGACAUCACAAUACCCCAUAAGGACAAAGCAAAAACUGUUUGUUUUUUUAGAAAUGUUUAUACAUUUAUUAGAAAUACAAAACUGAAAUAUCACAUUUACAUAAGUAAUUCAGACCCUUUACUCAGUACUUUGUUGAAGCAUCUUUGGCAGUGAUUACAGCCUCAAGUCUUCUUGGGUAUGACGCUACAAGCUUGGCACACAUGUAUUUGGGGAGUUUCUUCAAUUCUACUCUGCAGAUCCUCUCAAGCUCUGUCAGGUUGGAUGGGGAGCUUCACUGCACAGCUAUUUUCAGGUCUCUCCAGAGAUGUUCGAUCAGGUUCAUAUCCAGGCUCUGGAUGGGCCAGUCAAGGACAUUCAGACUUGUCCUGAAGCCACUCUUGUGUUGUCUUGGCUGUGUGCUUAGGGUUGUGGUCCUGUUGGAAGGUGAACCUUCGCUCCAGAAUGAGGUCCUGAGCGCUCUGGGGCAGGUUGUCAUUAAGGAUCUCUCUGUACUUUGCUCCGUUCAUCUUUCCCUCAAUCCUGACUAGUCUCCCAGUCCCUGGAAGCUGAAAAACAUCCCCACAGCAUGAUGCUGCCACCACCGUGUUUCACUGUAGGGAUGCUGCCACCACCAUGCUUCACCGUAGGGAUGGUGCCACCACAGUGCUUCACUGUAGGGAUGCUGCCACCACCAUGCUUCACUGUAGGGAUGCUGCCACCACCAUGCUUCACCGUAGGGAUGCUGCCACCACCAUGCUUCACCAUAGGGAUGCUGCCACCACCAUGCUUCACCAUAGGGAUGCUGCCACCACCAUGCUUCACCAUAGGGAUGCUGCCACCACCGUGCUUCACCGUAGGGAUGCUGCCACCACCAUACUUCACCGUAGGGAUGGUGCCAGGUUUCUUCCAGACGUGACGCUUGGCACUCAGGCCAAAGAGUUCAAUCUUGGUUUCAUCAGACCAGAGAAUCUGAUUUCUUUAGGUGCCUUUUGGCAAACUCCAAGUGGGCUGUCAAGUGCCUUUUACUGAGGAGUGGCUUCUGUCUGGCCACUCUACCAUAAAGGCCUGAUUGGUGGAGUGCUGCAGAGAUGGUUGUCCUUCUGGAAGGUUCUCCCAUCUCCACAGAAUGACCAUCAGGUUCUUGGUCACCUCCUUGACCAAGGCCCUUCUCCCCCAAUGGCUGGGCAGAAAGCUCUAGGAAGAGUUUUGGUGGCUACAAACUUCUUUCAUUUAGAAUAAAGUAGGCCACUGUGUUCAAUGCUGAAUAAUUAUUUUGGUACCUAUUCCCAGAUCUAUGCCUCGAUACUAUCCUGUCUUGGAGUUCUACGGACAAUUCCUUCGACCUCAUGGCUUGGUUUCCAAAUCAUGUCAAAUCAAUUGAAUUUACCACAGGUGGACUCCAAUCAAGUUGUAGAAACAUCUCAAGGAUGAUCAAUGGAAACAGGAUGCACCUGAGCUCAAUUUGGGGUCUCAUAGCAAAGGGUCUGAAUACUUAUGUAAAUAAGGUAUUUCUGUUUCUUAUUUAAAAAAUUAGCAAACAUUUCUAAAAACCUGUUUUCGCAUUGUCAUUAUGGGGUAGUGUGUGUAGAUUGAUGAGAUUCAUGAGAUUAUUUAAUUAAUUUUAGAAUAAGUCUGUAACGUAACAAAAUGUGGAGAAGGGGGAAGGGGUCUGAAUACUUCCUGAAUAAUCUGUAUAAAGGUGUGAAAGUGAAGACAGAUGUUGGAUUUGUUAACCUGCUGAGUGAAUGGAUAGAAUACACUGGACUGCAUCUAAAACACCAAAUUCAACAUGGCUGCGUUUACACAGCCAACACAAUUAUAAUAUUCUUCCCACUAAUUGCACCUUUUGAUCAAUUAGCUAUUUUGUCAAAAAUUGGGGAAAAGAUCAGAAUUCAGCUGACUGUGUAAAUGCAGCUAAAAAGUGCUGGGGGCUAGUGCCCUACUUUGACCAGGGUGCUAGUGCCCUACUUUGACCAGGGUGCUGGGGGCUAGUGCACUACUUUGAUGAGGGUGCUGGGGGCUAGUGCACUACUUUGAUGAGGGUGCCGGGGGCUAGUGCACUACUUUGAUGAGGGUGCUGGGGACUAGUGCACUACUUUGAUCAGGGUGCUGGUGCACUACCUUGACCACGGUGCUGGGACUAGUGCACUACUUUGAUGAGGGUGCUGGGGGCUAGUGCACUACUUGGAUGAGGGUGCCGGGGGCUAGUGCACUACUUUGACCAGGGUGCUGGGGGCUAGUGCCCUACUUUGACCAGGGUGCUGGGGACUAGUGCCCUACUUUGACCAGGGUGCUAGGGGCUAGUGCCCUACUUUGACCAGGGUGCUGGGGGCUAGUGCCCUACUUUGACCAGGGUGCUGGGGGCUAGUGCCCUACUUUGACCAGGGUGCUGG